CGGCGAGCGCAGCGUGGGGUCUCCUGCCUCAGCUCUGGGCGGUUUCCCGGCGUCAGUUAGACAAUCUGCCUGCGGCGUCGCGGACAGCCUCCUGGAAAAGGCGGAGUGGCCUGGCCGGGGAGGGGCAGGGCUCCCCUUUGCUUCCCAGGAACUGUCAGUACUUCGUAACGCAUAAUCAGGAAGCUGAAGCUGCUAUGGAAAGAAUGGAUUAGAAGACCAGUACAGAAGCAGGGAGACCAGAAGAGAGACUGCUACAAUGAGCCAGAUGAGAAAAUGUGCUGGCCUGAGCUAAGAGUCAUGGCAGUGGGUAUGCAGAAAUGGCUUUGAACACAAUGUAUAUUUUGGAAGAAGUACCAACAAGACUACUUCACUCAUGUUGAGGUCUUGUGUAAGGUGUUGUGGUUACCAAGGUGGAGGCCCCCCAUCUGGUAGAGAAGGCAGACAUGAACAUGUGUGAAGGCCAUGUGCAGUGGGGUCAGUGCUGUGACAGAGCUGAGCCUUCGGAUGAGACCGUGACCCCAGCUACAAGUUGACCGCAACCUUACAGAAGACCUUCAGUCGGAAGCUCCCAGCUAAGCCAUGCCUGGAUUCCUG